rnacentral:rRNA from 1 species
AUUGAACGCUGGCGGCAGGCCUAACACAUGCAAGUCGAGCGGAGCGGCGGACGGGUGAGUAAUGCCUAGGAAUCUGCCUGGUAGUGGGGGAUAACGUCCGGAAAGGGGAGCUAAUACCGCAUACUAUCAGAUGAGCCUAGGUCGGAUUAGCUAGUUGGUGGGGGAAAGGCCUACCAAGGCGACGAUCCGUAACUGGUCUGAGAGGGUGAUCAGUCACACUGGAACUGAGACAGGGUCCAGACGCCUACGGGAGGGAGCAGUGGCGAAUAGUGGACAAUGGGCGAAAGCCUGGUCCAGCCAGGCCGCGUGUGUGAAGAAGGUCGUCGGAUUGUAAAGCACUUGUAGUUGGGAGGCGUUACCAACAGAAUAAGCACCGGCUAACUUCGUGCCAGCAGCCGCGGUAAUAC